rnacentral:rRNA from 1 species
AGAGGAAGUAAAAGUCGUAACAAGGUUUCCGUAGGUGAACCUGCGGAAGGAUCAUUACUGAGUUUUGAACGGGUUGUAGCUGGCCUUUCACGAGGCAUGUGCACGCCUGGCUCAUUCCCACUCUCUUACCUCUGUGCACCAUUUGUAGGAGAAAAGGGAGGUUACAGACCGCUAGCCGGUUGAAGGCCUCUCUCUCUCUCUCCUAUGUUUUAUUACAAACGCUUCAGUAUCAGAAUGUUUAUCUUGUGUAAUGCAUUAUAAUACAACUUUCAGCAACGGAUCUCUUGGCUCUCGCAUCGAUGAAGAACGCAGCGAAAUGCGAUAAGUAAUGUGAAUUGCAGAAUUCAGUGAAUCAUCGAAUCUUUGAACGCACCUUGCGCUCCUUGGUAUUCCGAGGAGCAUGCCUGUUUGAGUGUCAUGGAAUUCUCAACCCAAAGAAUUUUGUUAUUCUGCGGGCUUGGACUUGGAGGUUUGUGUCGGCUCUAGCUCAGUCGACUCCUCUGAAAUGUAUUAGCGUGAAUUCUUUACGGAUCGCCUUCAGUGUGAUAAUUAAUCUGCGCUGCGGCUGUGAAGUAUUUAAUUGACUCAUGCUUACAAUCGUCUCUUAGGAGACAAUUUGUUAUAUGACAUCUGGCCUCAAAUCAGGUAGGACUACCCGCUGAACUUAAGCAUAUCA